GGGCCCGUAGCUCAGCGGUAGAGCGGCCGGCUCAUAACUGGUUGCGCGUAGGUUCGAAUCCUACCGGGCCCACCA
rnacentral:tRNA from 1 species